UGCAGUCGAGGGGUACAUUGUAGCUUGCUACAGAUGACGACCGGCGCACGGGUGCGUAACGCGUAUAGAACCUACCUUUUACAGGGGAAUAGCCCAGAGAAAUUUGGAUUAAUGCCCCAUGGUAUUAUUGAAUGGCAUCAUUUAAUAAUUAAACAUUUAUGGGUAAAAGAUGGCUAUGCGUUCUAUUAGCUAGAUGGUAAGGUAACGGCUUACCAUGGCAACGAUAGAUAGGGGUCCUGAGAGGGAGACCCCCCACACUGGUACUGAGACACGGACCAGACUCCUACGGGAGGCAGCAGUGAGGAAUAUUGGACAAUGGAGGCAACUCUGAUCCAGCCAUGCCGCGUGCAGGAAGACGGCCCUAUGGGUUGUAAACUGCUUUUAUAUAGGAAGAAACCUUUCCACGUGUGGAAAGCUGACGGUACUAUAAGAAUAAGCACCGGCUAACUCCGUGCCAGCAGCCGCGGUAAUACGGAGGGUGCAAGCGUUAUCCGGAAUCAUUGGGUUUAAAGGGUCCGUAGGCGGACUAAUAAGUCAGGGGUGAAAUCCAACAGCUUAACUGUUGAACUGCCCUUGAUACUGUUAGUCUUGAAUUAUAUGGAAGUAGAUAGAAUGUGUAGUGUAGCGGUGAAAUGCUUAGAGAUUACACAGAAUACCGAUUGCGAACGCAGUCUACUACGUAUAUAUUGACGCUUAAUGGACGAAAGCGUGGGGAGCGAACAGGGAUUA
rnacentral:rRNA from 1 species